rnacentral:rRNA from 1 species
CCAGCAGCCGCGGUAAUACCAGCUCCAUUAGUGUAUGUUAAAGUUGUUGCAGUUAAAAAGCUCGUAGUUGGAUUUCUGACUCAGGUAGCCUGGCCCGAGGUUUUGUUCCCUUCGUGGAACCCUUGUGUGCCGGUUCGGAGGCCACCGGUCCUGUCCUCGCUCGGUUGUCGGCUCCUUCGGGCGUGCUGACCCGGCUUGUGUCGUGGACUUGGCCACCUGCUUCCUGGUCAUCCUUCAGAAGAUUCCGCCUACCCUUCAUUGGGCCGGGCGCGAGGACUCUGAUCGUUUACUUUGAAAAAAUUUAGAGUGUUCAAGGCAGGCAUUGUUGCUGUGAAUAGUUUAGCAUGGAAUAAUAAGAUAGGACUUUGGCACCGCUGGCGCUCUUGGGCAGUUUUGUUCUUCGGACUGGCUGUCUUCGGCGUCGGUUCUAUUUUUGUUGGUUUUCUAGAGCCAAAGUAAUGAUUGAUAGGGAUAGUUGGGGGUGCUAGUAUUGCUGGGCCAAGAGGUUGAAAAUUCUUGGAUUCCAGCAAGACUAACUUAUGCGAAAGCAUUCACCAAGGAUGUCUUCUCUAAUCAAGAACGAAAGUUGGGGGGAAUCGAAGACGAUCAGAUACCGUCGUAGU